UACGGAGGGGGGCGAGCGUUAUUCGGAAUUAUUGGGCGUAAAGGGCGCGUAGGCGGCUUGAUAAGUCAAAGGUGAAAUCCCUCGGCUCAACUGAGGAACUGCCUUUGAAACUGUCUGGCUUGAGGCCGGGAGGGGGUAGCGGAAUUCCCAGUGUAGCGGUGAAAUGCGUAGAUAUUGGGAGGAACACCGGUGGCGAAGGCGGCUACCUGGACCGGUUCUGACGCUGAUGCGCGAAAGCGUGGGUAGCAAACGGG
rnacentral:rRNA from 1 species